UACGGGGGGGGCAAGCGUUGUUCGGAAUUACUGGGCGUAAAGGGUUCGUAGGUGGCCCGCUAAGUCACACGUGAAAUCCCUCAGCUUAACCGGGGAACUGCAUCUGAUACUGGAUGGCUUGAGAUUGGGAGAGGGAUGCGGAAUUCCAGGUGUAGCGGUGAAAUGCGUAGAUAUCUGGAGGAACACCGGUGGCGAAGGCGGCAUCCUGGACCAACACUGACGCUGAGGAGCGAAAGCCAGGGGAGCAAACGGG
rnacentral:rRNA from 1 species